AACAUGAUGCAGCUUUAAUUGGUAGUUGAUAUUAUAUCAUAUAUGAAAAAGUCAAAGCAAAGACAUUCCUUUUCUUGAUAAUGCUUACAACUUGGUAUAUGAACUUUGUCUUCUAUUGAGACAUUAAACAAUGACAUUCACGUUAAAGCAUUGCCUUGAUUUUCAUAUACCAUAUUUGUGUUUGUCUGUAGAGAAAAAUCCAUUGACAAUGACAUAUCAAUGCUUUGGCAAAGCUUUAAUUUUGUCCCAUAGUGUAUUGGCCAAAAAUGCUUUGACAAUGACAUAUCAAUGCUUUGGCAAAGCUUUAAUUUUGUCCCAUAGUGUAUAGGCCAAAAAUGUGUUUCAUUUUUCCAACACAAUAUUUCAUCUGUCCUUAAUCAAACACAAACCUAUCCAUUUAAAAAAUCAGCAAUGCAACAUUCUUCUCUAACAUAAAUUUCUUCAACAAUGGAACCAAAUGAUCCAUCAAGUAAAGGGAUGAAGAAAAAAUUAACAGUUGCACAAAGCAAUUUUAUCAACAAAGGUAUGUCCAAAUGUUCUUCACCAUGUCAAAUAUAUAUUACUUGGGUAAUGAAAUGGAUAAUAUUAUUUCCAAUCAUGAUAGUUAUUUUAUUACCAUUGUAGAGAAUGUGUUUUGCACUAAAUCUUCAAUGAAACAAGUUAACAAGUUAUCCAGGGAGCCUUUUAGAAGUCCUCUUUCUCCAUUGAUGAAUG
rnacentral:lncRNA from 1 species